rnacentral:sRNA from 1 species
CAGUGACUCGGCAGGAGAAGAUGGCGACCGUGUGGGAUGAGGCCGAGCAAGAUGGAAUUGGGGAGGAGGUGCUCAAGAUGUCCACGGAGGAGAUCAUCCAGCGCACACGGCUGCUGGACAGUGAGAUCAAGAUCAUGAAGAGUGAAGUGUUGAGAGUCACCCAUGAGCUCCAAGCCAUGAAGGACAAGAUAAAAGAGAACAGUGAGAAAAUCAAAGUGAACAAGACCCUGCCGUACCUUGUCUCCAACGUCAUCGAGCUCCUGGAUGUUGAUCCUAAUGACCAAGAGGAGGAUGGUGCCAAUAUUGACCUGGACUCCCAGAGGAAGGGCAAGUGUGCUGUGAUCAAAACCUCUACACGACAGGUGAGCGUGGCUCAGCAAUGAGACUGGAGGAGGGUGAGGAGCGGAUGUGGGACAGGACUAGGGAGCCUUCCCUGAGGACACUAACUGAGACUGCCCCUGUAACUUGUCCACAGACGUACUUCCUUCCUGUGAUUGGGUUGGUGGAUGCUGAAAAGCUAAAGCCAGGAGACCUGGUGGUGAGU